rnacentral:lncRNA from 1 species
AAUGAAAAUAACAUCAUUAUGAAAUACAUUAACAUACUCAAUAUAUAAAUCAAUAACAUCAAGAAAAUGUUCCUGGUUUAAAAAGAGGUAUGUAUUUAAAAGUGUAAUAGUAAUAUACGCAAUAUUAUGAUUAUUUUAUUGAUUGAGUGCUGUUUGCGUUACGUUCAGCGGCCUAUAUAUUUCAUCCAUAUUCAGAACGAGAAGGAAAUAUAUGGUGAAAUUGAAUCUUGAAAGUUUAGGUUCUUCAAGAUGGGAUGACCUUCAGGGACGACGAGGGUGAAGGCCGGAAACUUUGGACUUCCUGGAAAAUUAGAGUUAUAUGGGAUGGGUAUGAAAUUGCAACAGUCCACGUACGGACCCCUCAUAUAUUUGUUGCAGGGAUUCUUAAUAGUUUGUCUUUAUGCUUUAAAUGAUUUUUUUGUAUGUAUCAAUUACGCUGUUUUUCUCAUUUGAAUUAUUUUACAUUAGUCAUUCCAGGGUCUUUUAUAGCUGCCUGUGCGAUAUUGGCUUUGGAACCUCCUAUUUAUUUUGACGAUCAAUGCAUUUGAAUGUAGACACAUAAUCGUACACCCCCCUUUUUUCCUGGAUUAUAGGAACACCCCUUAUAUAAAUGGCUAGAUCCGCACCUUGGUUUGACAUUUUGUAAAACAUGUUGAUUGGAUGGAGAGUUGUUUCAUUGGCACUCACACCAUAUCUUCCUAUAUCUGAUUAUACUUGAUAUUGUUUUGCUAAAUUUCAAUUUUAUUCGGUGAUCUUCAAAUAAGGACUAGCCCAAUUGUCGAAGGUCCGUGAUUCUUUCCAGGUACGCCAGAUUCCUCGUCAUAUUAAACUGAGCAAUUGAACAAAGUCAAUAAAUUUAUAAAUUAUCACCCGUGUAUUUCAUAAUUUGUAUCUCUUUAAUCCGUUUUUCUCCAUUCUAAGUUUUUUUUCCAUUUCUCUCUAUUCUGUAAAUCCAAUUUAUACCCUCAUGCAUGUAAAUUAUAUAAGUUUUAUUAUAGUUCAUAUAGAAGCGGCAACAUUAUAAUUCUGACUUGACUAUUUCGCCUUGUCCAUAUGAAAAUAAGAAGUUGUGGUAUAGUUGCAAAAUGUGAUAACUCUUAACCUGAGACCAAAUGAUAUACAUGUAGAUGAUAAAACUGACUUAUUCUCUCUGUAUGGCCUCUAACAAUGAACAAAACAUAUGUCUUAAAAAUAUACCAACAAAUAACAUUUUGAUAAAAUAUCGUGUUGGUUAAAAAAAAACUAUAAAAAAAAAACAUAAAAUAAACUAAUAAUGGCACAUGAUAUACUACGAUUACACUCCAUCUUACCUACAACAAAAAUCUGAUGAAAAUCGUAUUGGUAAAGAAAAUACAUUAGCGGCGCAACAACACAAAAGACAUCUAGAAGUCAAUAAUAAAAAAAAACUUACAAUGGGUAAACACAUUAGCGGCGCAACAACACAAAAAGACAUCCAGAAGUCAAUAUAAAAAACUUAUAAUGACACAUCACAUUACUAGGAUUACACCCCUUAUUACCUGUACACAAUAAAACAUAACAACUUACUUACAUCUAUAUUUAUUUACGUUCUAAGGGGAUAGGAAAUAACUCUUUAACCCUACAAGUUAUAGUUAUCUUUUAGGAAAUGCAUCAAACAUUUCAAACGAGGAAAAAAACGUAUCAGAUUUCCUACAGCUAAGUUACAGUCGGAUUUAUUCCAUUGGGCACGCACGCACAAGGUAUGUUAUUCUAUAUUUUUCAGCAUCAAUGAUAACGUAUAUUUGCUUUUUGUUUCGUUAUGUCUUUGGACGUCUUCUUCUAAGUUAAAUUUAAUUUUUCAAUCAUGUGCAACGCAUAUUUGUUCAAUCUAGCAGAAGUUUCCACGGAUUUGGUUUUUUUUAUAAACAAUGCCAGAAUAUCAGUUAAACAGUCCCCGUUGUAACAAAUACAAUGUACCCUUUAUAUCGUUUUGGACAAAAACUGUAAUAUUUGUUCCAGUGAUAUUUUGAUGGAGCUUUUUUCAUGGCACAUUUAUUUACAUAUGAGCUUAUCAAUAUUUCCAUUUAUUAUUGUGCUAUGUCUGUCUCACCAUUUUCAACAUUUUGGCAUAAUAUCCAUUUUUGGUUUUGCAAUGCAGCAAUUUGAAAUGAAUCUUUUCUUUUUAAAACUUUGAUAAAUUGUCGGAGGGGGAAUAUUAAUUUUGAUCUCGUUAAGUUAAGAUGGCAGUGGAAUCAAGACUGACUUUUAUAAGGGGGCAUUGGCGGCAUAUAAGGGAGCCGCUUCAGGUAUGCUUCAGUGAUUACAUAGCUUUUCCAACAAAAAGGGGAGCCCAGGCAUCCGGGGCCCAACUGAAUCGACUAUGGAGGGCGUUAGACAUACAUCGUAAAGCCAUGGUGGCAACACAAGACGUAUACCAAAUUGUGAUAAAUGUAAACAGACAAGGACAACGGACGAAAACAGUUGAUGAAGUACAAACACGAACUAAUGUUUUGAAUGAUUUGAUUACGGAUUAAUAAAAAAAAAAAUGACAAGACUUGUUGAAAACGAAACGAGCCCCGGUUGAUCUAUUUUACAAAUAAGUCAUUCGAAUUUUAUUUUUCAUAAUUAUGCAAAAUACUUUAAACCAUUCAACGGAACCCAGUUUUGUAACACAAUAACAUAAACAACUUAGAAAGUAUAUUAUAGUCACGAAUGCAUAACAAAUCAAUAAAUAUACGUAUAAACUGGGUCUUCUUAUAUACCAUAACGCUUUAGGUAACGUUUAAUGGUCUGUGUAAUGACCAAAAAUCACUUUUGAAGUAAAACACGCCUUACCUUUUAGCCAUGUACAAAAUGUAUGUAAACUUGCGAGUUAAAUUGAUAUCUGUAAGUGUAUAUAAGUACAUGUAAGUAUAUAAGGGUCUGGAUUAAUUCAUGACGUUUUUCUGUUUUAAAAAAAUUAUAUUCCAAAGACGUGUGUCUGUAUUGUCUAUUUUGUUGCCCAUUAUUCUCUAUUUCCAUAUUUUUGCAUUCUAAUUAUUUCUCUUUUUUUGUCUUUUUUUCAGCCAAUUAUUCUCCUAAUUAUUUCUCUUUUUUCCCCUUUUUUAAUUGUUCUUUUUAUAUGUUUGGUAAACUUCUCUUUACUCUUGGUCCAUGCAUUCUUCUCUAUUCUGUAAACCCCUUUAAUCAAGCAAUGAUAAACUAGUAAUAAAACACUAUUUAACUAUCACACGUCAUCAAUUGGACAACUGUCAAUCCAAUUUCAUUAUAUAUAAAACGCAUUACCGUGUAUCGUUUGUUUAGUUGACUAGUAUAGUACAUAAAGUACAUGUACAGUGAAACAUGAUUAAACCGAACCAUGAAUAAAACAGAAACCUAUCUAAAUCAAACUUGUUCUGAAGACCAAUCAUAUCACAUUUCAUACACUGUGAACCUGGUGAAACCGAAUACCUGCCAAAACCGAACAAAAUCUCCAGUCCCGAAAGGAUUCGGUUUAAUCAGGUUUUACUGUAUUAUAUCUUGUCAAUACAUCUUUAUUUCCUGUAUAAGAUGACUUAGUAUAAUACGUUGUUAUAUCAUUGAUAAAAUUGUUAACAUCUUUAUUGUUAAACUUUUAUAACAGGGCAUUUGAACAUUUGCCAUACCAAAUACUGUUGGAAAAGCUCUGUCAUAAAAACCCCUAUGAUAGAAUGCAUAUGAUCAU